AUGCCCCAAAAUGACCCAAAAUCGCCAUUUUUCCCCCCAAAUCCUGUAGGUUCGCCAAGCUGCUGCUCCGCCUUCCGGCCCUUCGCUCCAUCGGCCUCAAGUGCCUGGAACAUUUGUUCUUCUUCAAGCUCAUCGGGGACACCCCCAUCGACACCUUCCUCAUGGAGAUGCUCGAGGCCCCGCACCAGCUGGCCUGACCCCAUAGAAAACCCUAUAAACCCUAUAACCCCAUAUCGACCCUAUAAGCCCGAUAUUGACCCUAUAACCCCAAUAUGGACCCUAUAUCCUAUAUAUAUAUGGACGCAUAUCAGGGACACCCCCAUCGACACCNNNNNNNNNNNNNNNNNNNNNNNNNNNNNNNNNNNNNNNNNNNCCCAUAGAAAACCCUAUAAACCCUAUAACCCUAUAAACCCUAUAAACCCGAUAUGGAACCCAAAAACCCCAAUAUUGACCCCAAAAUCCCUAUUUCGGGGCAUGGAAAUGGGCCUCAGGACACAAAAAUGGACUGAAAUGAUGGGAUUCCAUCCCAUAAUACGACCCUAUAAACCCUAUAAUCCCAAUAUUGACCCUAUAAGCCCUAUAUGGACCCUAUAAACCCUAUAUGGACCCUAUAAACCUGAUAUGGAACCCAAAAAUCCCAAUAUUGACCCCAUAAUGCCUGGAAAACAACGGACUCAAACGUGGACUGAACUGGUGGGAUUCCAUCCCAUAAUACGACCCUAUAAACCCUAUAAUCCCAAUAUGGACCCUAUAAGACCCUAUAAACCCUAUAACCCCAAUAUGGACCCUAUAACCCCAAUAUGGACCCUAUAACCCCAAUAUGGACCCUAUAUCCUAUAUAUAUAUGGACGCAUAUCAGGGACACCCCCAUCGACACCUUCCUCAUGGAGAUGCUCGAGGCCCCGCACCAGCUGGCCUGACCCCAUAGAAAACCCUAUAAACCCUAUAACCCUAUAACCCCUAUAUGGACCCUAUAAGCCCUAUAUGGACCCUAUAAACCCGAUAUGGACCCUAUAAACCCGAUAUGGACCCUAUAAACCUGAUAUGGACCCCAUAAUCCCUGGAAAACAACGGACUCAAACGUGGACUGAAAUGAUGGGAUUCCAUCCCAUAAUACGACCCCAUAAACCCUAUAAACCCUAUAACCCCAAUAUGGACCCUAUAAACCUGAUAUGGACCCUAUAAUCCCAAUAUGGACCCUAUAAUCCCAAUAUGGACCCUAUAAUCCCAAUAUUGACCCCAUAAUCCCAAUAUUGACCCUAUAAUCCCAAUAUGGACCCUAUAAUCCCAAUAUGGACCCUAUAAACCCAAUAUGGACCCUAUAAUCCCAAUAUUGACCCUAUAAUCCCAAUAUUGACCCUAUAAUCCCAGUGCUGACCCUAUAAACCCCAUAGGAUAUAAUGGGGUCCCCAUUAAUACCCUAUAAACCCCAUAGGAUAUAAUGGGGUCCCCAUUAAUACC
rnacentral:lncRNA from 1 species